UCCUGCCAGUAGUCAUAUGCUUGUCUCAAAGAUUAAGCCAUGCACGUCUAAGGAUAAAUAUUAUUUAACCAUAAACCUGCGAAAGGCUCAUUAAAUCAGUAAUAAUCUAUUCUAUUAUUUAAUCCUAUUUGGAUAACUGUAGUAAUUCUAGAGCUAAUACAUGCAAAAAACCUGGACUUUACAGAACAGGUGUAUUUAUUAGACUUUAAAACCGAUUACAAUUUAUUGUAAAUUUAAAAUGAAUUAAAAUAAGUUUAUGAAUCGCAGAUCAUUUUGUGAUGAUAAGAAUGAAUUUCUGCCCUAUCAACUUUCGAUGGUAAUGUAGUGGAUUACCAUGGUGAUGACGGGUAACGGGGAAUUAGGGUUUGAUUCCGGAGAAAAGGCCUGAGAGACGGCCAUUACUUUCUAAGGAAGGCAGCAGG
rnacentral:rRNA from 1 species